UGUCCUUUGGAACUUACUAGAACUCCAUCAUCUAGGAUGCUGGGGAAAGCUCUUCAUGUGGAGGCAUCCCACCGAGACACUCCACUAUGAAACUGCCUGAAGGGGUGCCAGCUGCUGGCUACUGGGUGCCAUGCAUUGGAGAAGUCACCGAUUGGGACUUAAUGUUGGUCUUCACUGUUUGCAGAUGUCCUCCAGAACAGUUCCUUAGAAGCCCCAGGACUUGAAGGAAUACCAUCUGACACCAAUUCAUCUACUGGUACCAGAUAAAUAAGCAGAAGGUUGCUUAGUGAGCAUAGACCUGAAGGAAGGAGACUUGGAGGAAUACUCCAUCCAGGUUCUGGGAAAUGUCUGUACACAGGCCUCUCACUGCUGCGGCCUGUGAGACACAGCCACCCCCUGCCUCUGCAGGAGACCCUCCAACCCUAGCAGAGACACAAAGAGGAAAGACAUAUAAAGAGGAGGAGGUGAUGUGGUCAUGGAGGUGAGAUUGGACUGAUGCAGCCACAAGCCAAGGAACACGGGAAACCACCAGAAGCUGGAAGAGGCAAGGAACAGACUUUCCCCUAGAGCCUCCAGAAAGAAGGCAGCCCUGCUGACACACUGAUUUUAGACUUUUGGACCCCAGAAUUCUGCUUGCUUUAAGCAACCCAGUUGUGGUAAUUGUUACACAGCCACAGCAAACUAAAACACCUAUGUAUAUACCUAGGUGUAUAUUUCUAUCACCUGUAUCUACAUUAAGCUAAACAUGAGUUCUAACUGAUGUCUCCAACUCUAAUCCAUUACAUGGGUCAUUCUAGCCUCCUACCCUUGCUGAUUUGUAAAUUCCCACUUCAAUGGUAAGAAACCUGGCUCCCUCAUCUGUCAUCAACUCAUUAAACUGUUCAAGUCCAGUAUACUUGUAGGAAGAGUAUCACAAUUCUGAUUCUCCCAAAGGGAACAGUUUUAUCAACCAGAAUAUGGUACCAUGUGCAGUUCCUUUUUCCCUUCAUCUUACAGACUGCAUUCAUUUCCAAAGUUCUUUAAGUCAGCAACUUUCCCCCCAUUUCCUUCAGUGAGGUUGUUUCAUACACUUGUAAUACAGUUAGAUUCUCUUGAAUCUGCAUUAGUCUGCAUUGUUUCAUGAUAUACCCUGACCUCCUAAAUUGUAAAAAUAUUCGCAUACAUUACAGUUCAUUCUUUGUGUUGUAAGGUUCUGUAGGUUUUGAUAAAUACACUAUGUCAUGUAUGCACCAUUACAGUAUUAUGAGAAUAGUUUCAUUGCUCUAAAGUUCCCCUCCCUCCCC